GAACAUUUGAUAUUUUUGUGUUUCUCCAGUAGGUUUUUCCUGAAGGAAAAGCCCCC
ensembl:snRNA U7 U7 small nuclear RNA